GAGGUAAUGGCCCACCAAACCUGUAACCGGUACGGGCUCUGAGAGGAGGAGCCCGGAGAUGGGUACUGAGAAAAGGACCCAGGCCCUAUGGGAUGCAGCAGGCGCGAAACCUCUGCAAUAGGCGAAAGCCUGACAAGGUUACUCUGAGUGACUUUCGCUAAGAAAGACUUUUGACACCUCUAAAAAUGGUGGAGAAUAAGGGGUGGGCAAGUCUGGUGUCAGCCGCCGCGGUAAUACCAGCACCCCGAGUGGUCGGGACGAUUAUUGGGCCUAAAGCAUCCGUAGCCGGUUUUACAAGUCCUCCGUUAAAUCCAACUGCUUAACAGAUGGGCUGCGGAGGAUACUAUCAGACUAGGAGGCAGGAGAGGCAAGCGGUACUCAGUGGGUAGGGGUAAAAUCCGCUGAUCCAUUGAAGACCACCAGUGGCGAAGGCGGCUUGCCAGAAUGCGCUCGACGGUGAGGGAUGAAAGCUGGGGGAGCAAACCGGAUUAGAUACCCGGGUAGUCCCAGCUGUAAACGAUGCAGACUCGGUGAUGGACUAGCUUAGUGCUAGUCCAGUGCCGCAGGGAAGCCGUUAAGUCUGCCGCCUGGGUAGUACGGUCGCAAGACUGAAACUUAAAGGAAUUGGCGGGGGGAGCACUACAAGGGGGUGAAGCCUGCGGUUCAAUUGGA
rnacentral:rRNA from 1 species